AAAAAGGCGGGAGAAGCCCCG
rnacentral:miRNA from 1 species